rnacentral:lncRNA from 1 species
GGCUCCCAUCCCGGGUCCCCGGCGGCGCGAAAGGCAAGAUGUUGAGGCGUAAUCUGGAUGACCGAGACGCUCAAACAAAACAACUGCAGGAUGCUGUCACAAAUGUGGAGAAGCAUUUUGGAGAGCUUUGCCAAAUCUUUGCUGCUUAUGUACGGAAAACUGCCAGGCUUCGAGACAAAGCCGACCUCCUGGUGAAUGAAAUCAACCUGUAUGCCUCUACCGAGACCCCAAAUUUAAAGCAGGGUCUGAAAGACUUUGCCGAUGAGUUUGCCAAACUUCAAGAUUACCGCCAGGCAGAGUUAUAUUUUAUAUAAUUUUCAAUAGGUUGAAAGACUUGAAGCCAAAGUAGUUGAACCUUUGAAAGCUUAUGGGACCAUUGUAAAGAUGAAACGAGAUGAUCUCAAAGCAACAUUAACAGCAAGGAAUCGAGAAGCCAAACAGUUAUCUCAGUUAGAAAGGACACGCCAGCGAAACCCAUCGGAUCGACAUGUAAUUUUUUAGGCAGAAACUGAAUUACAGAGAGCCACAAUUGAUGCUACCCGCACCACUCGUCAUCUGGAGGAAACUAUUGACAAUUUUGAAAAGCAGAAAAUAAAGGACAUAAAGAACAUAUUAUCUGAGUUUAUCACAAUUGAAAUGCUAUUUCAUGGCAAAGCUUUAGAGGUCCUCACUGCCGCC